CACUCUUUCUUCUCUUUUCUUUCCUCACCACGCGCCCCUCCUCUUCAUUCCCAAUAGUGAGCCAAAACGACGAAGAACAAGGGUGGAGGAUCCCUAGUUCUCACCCAAAACUACGCCCGAGUUCUUCUUCUGAUGUCCAUACGAGAACUAGCGUGCUAGACACAAACGUUCAUGCCAGCAAGGCUCCAGAAACCUUUGAGAGUAAGCCACACAACAUAAUUUCCAAUCGAUUUCUCAAUUUCUCUCUCAAAACCGUUCGAUUUUGCACUGAAUCGUACGACUGCAACUAUUCAAUCUUAUCCUCCAAGGAAUUCUAUUUUUCCUCAAGUCCCAUAUCGAUUGGGAACCCCCAAAAUGGCAAGAAAUUCAACUAUAAAUAACCUCAAUUCCUCACUAUUAGAGGAGGGCUCAGAGAGCUUGGAGAUGAAGAACACCCCCUUGUUUGGGAGUUCUAAGUUUUUUAGAGAAAUUUUUCUAACUCAGCUGUCCCUAGUCAUCUUUUAGCUCAUCGGAGCCUACUCAUGGUAUUGGAGCUCAUCGUCCUCAAGCGUCGUCCCAACCGCUGCACUUAAAAAAGGACGCAUCUAUGGCUACUUGGUGUUAUUUUUAGGAUCGAUUGAGAUUAAGCAAUCACUGUAUUGCUGGGCAAAUCACAUGUUGGACUCUUGGUCAGAUUGUUCUUUAUUGAGGUUUGAUAUUAGUCAUGGAUAGAGUGUACAUUUAUAGGUAAUUUGUCGGGUCAAGUUGACCUUUCAUCUGUUUCAUUUUAUAUCGAGCAUGAGCUUGUUUGCCUCAUCUAUAACAUUCUAUUUUGUAUUGUGCCAACGUGCAUUUCGAAUUCGCAUUGUUUUGGUUUUUGAGGUCUGAAUACUGUUUUGGGAUGAAUCUGUCUCAAAUCCACCGUUUUAAACUUGGUGAGCUAGUUAGAUUUUGGAUUCGGUGUAAGCAUGACUCUUUCACCUUGUUAUUGAUAUUGUAAUUUGUGGAGUUCAAGUCUUAUAUGAUGGUACAGUUUUGUUUGAUAUUUCUCCCUGCCUUCCUCUCUGAUAUAACUUUUCCUCUUAAGUUUCCUUUUAGAUGUUGAGUGAUUAUUCUUGGCUUGGUUAAUAUCCCAGGUCAAUUUCUGAAAUUACGCUCCACUGUUUGCGUAGUUUGGUUGAUUUAGAUAGUGUCCUCUUGUCUCUGGAUAUAUUAUUAUGAUCUAAUUUUGAAAGUUUGUUGAUUCUGUGAAUUAACCUCUUUUCCUUGCAAUUUCAAUUUGGGACCUAUGCUUUCCCUAAAACUUUUCGUAUUGUCAACUUAGUUAAUUUUCCUUUGCUUACUGUGAACCUUGGUCAAUCCUAUGUAUUAAAUUAUUGACAUGAUUUAUUCUUAUUAAAGUGGUGUGGAUUAAGUGAUUGAUUGUUCAACUCAUUUUCAUACAUUUCAAUUGCUAAUUUUAUCUUUUCUGUCUGUUUGGGUACAAACUCUCAUAAUGAGUCCUUUGGGACUCUCAUGUCAGGUGCGAAUUUCUUACCCGAAUUUGGAAACUACCCCUAUUCCUAUUUAGGGAGUUGAGGCGAAAAAUGGCUUGAUGAACUGUUCGCCACGCACCGGCCACAUUCACUUGCUUAUCGUAGAGGCUGUAAGUACACAGUGCCCCACAAGUAGGCUGCUUUUUCCGGAACGCAGUCCGAGAGUCCUUGCAUUUCUGAUUGGGACCGAAACCCAUCAUUAGUCCUUUGAGUCAGCCUCAUCAUCAAGGGGGAAGCUGGUAUACAUUCAAUAUGCAUGCUGAUACAGGUUGAAGAAUGGGCGUAAAGCUCAAAUCCCAGGAGCUAAUAUACAGAGUGGAAGUUGGUAUACAAAGUCGAUAUGCAACAUAUAUAUAGUCAGUAUACCUGUGGUAUACAAAAAUGGAAAUGGGCCAGAAAGCCCAAAUGCAGGAGUGGAAUUGAUCGAGUUUGGGUCCAAAAGGAUUUGAAUUUAGCAAAUUGAUUAUUUAUUUAUGUCUUUAUUUGUUGCUAUUUUAUGCUAGAUUAAUUCUAAUUUUAACUCUAAUUUAACUUAAUUAAAUUCCCUAAAACGAA